GCGUGUGCCGCUUUGAAGCUGACGGUUUUCCUGGCCUCCCUCCUGCCUGCUUAUCCUGUGUCCCCAGUGAGGGCUCCUCCGGCAUAUGCUGCUUCCCAGCGUGACGCUUGCACAAUGGAUGAGGAUCUAUGGAAAAGGCCCUGCUAUUGGAUAAUCAGCAGCUCCUGCACGCGAAGCCAAUUUCUCUCACCCAGAGAGACAUUUUAGGGAAGGCAUUUGGUUGUAAUCACGCCAUCCCUUCGAAAGGCCGUACUCGUUUGUCUGCAGCUUCUUUGAAAGGUGAGUAAUUCUCAAUGCAUUUUUCUUGGGCACCACUUACCCUAGCAAGGAGAUCUUUCCUGCAUGCUUGUGACCUUUCGGACAGCAGGGCCCUCGAUAUAUCUUCGGUGCAUGUGUUGUCUUUGUCGUGUGGUGAUUAUUUGCAAGGGUGA